UUUUACCAAAGUUGGCCAUGACAAUUUUAUAAACACACAUAAUAUUUUAACACAUGUUGAUACCGAUUUUAGCGUGAUGAUUAUAAUAGUGGUUGGAGUUAACUUGUCUUUGAAUAAGAAUAACAUCAGAGAAUCGAGCUGGAAGAUAAACAGCCAGACAGGGUCACUGUGCAGAUGAUGUCAAGGAAUAUAUGAACUUAUUGAGAAGAAGUUUAAUAACCUAGUGUACACCAACCCAGCAGUAAACUCUUAGCCUCUCUGCUCAAUGCCUGCACUAUACGAGGAAGAAUUAGAAAUCUGUGAAAAAGGCAAUAUUCCUGUCUAUCACACCUGCAGAUUCAGCAAUGCCAACAAUAUGUGACUAAUAACAGCUCAUAUUACACCUAGUUGCUGUAAAAUUUUCAAAUCACGAGCAGUCUAUGAUAAUAUGCUGCAACAAUGAUAAAUUUACGAUUUAGCAGCCGCAAGACCUCACUCAUAUUUAUGGAAAAGGUUUAAAUGUAUAAGACACUUAACCUAUAUUCCUUUUAUAAUGAAACUUGUUUUUAUAAUUUUUAUUCCAUUCUGACAUUAUAUGUCAACUUAGAAUAAUUGCAUGCAUUUUUAAUUUUUAAAACGGAUACCAUGGUAACCACAACGUUUUAAUUAAUGCCAUGCAACUUACUCUUUAACAUUGAUGUUUAUUGAAUGUAUUGUGGUUUAAUAGGUUUUAAGAUAGCAAUGUGUAACAUUAAUUAUCCAAUUAAGGUAGUGCACCUCUAAUGGGCACAUAUCCAAAUAUAAUUUAAUUAAUUAUUUUCCUAAUCAGCAUCAUUUCACUGAACUACAUGCACAUUUGUAGGUAGGCUUUCCAUGCUUUAAAAAAAAAAUAUACCGAUUUUUUUUCAAAACCACCCUCACGCUCGGCUUUUGUCCAAUUUAUUUUCACCCCUGGGGUAUAUAAAAGUUCCAUAAUUCAUUCAAAUUUCCAAAUAUGGACAUGCAGUUGGUGUGUACAGAUGCAGUAAAGGUGUUUAAAGUUUAAACAAGAUGAAAUAAGUAUUAUUUUACAGACAUUUAUUUUUUACAAAUUUUAAUCUUUGGAAUAUCGCCAUGAAAUGUAAGUGAUUUCAGCCAAGUAAAAAUUGGGUCGGUUAAAAACAAAGUGUCAUAAAAAUUCAAAAUAGUAUCAUUUAAGUUAUAUUUUAAACUAAGUUUUUAUAGAAACACUAUAUACAGCAAAAAUACCAAAAAAAUAGACAGAUUUACCGUUUACUUUUUGAAAUAAAAAUAAAAAUGCAACAUGCAUCAUUCGUAUGUUCAGCAGUAAAUUAAUCAAUUUAGCCAUAACGUUGUUUAAAUUUUAAAAUUGAAGGAUGUGCAUACAAUUUUCAACAUAUUUAACAAUAAACAUAGCUUAUGUGAUUUAUUAAAUCAAAUUACGUUAGAACAGAAAUAAAACGCGUCGAAAAAAGUCGAUGUCGGCAGGAAUCGAACCUGCGCGGGAAGAUCCCAAAAGAUUUCUAGUCCAUCGCCUUAUCCACUCGGCCAUGACAACUUCACAUUAGUGCAACCUUAAAUUAGAUAUACAUAAGUAAACAGGUAAAAAGGCUCGCUCGAUCUGUGAAGAAAACGCGAAAUCGUAUUUUUCAGAUGAUAAUUGGAUCAAAGUCAAAAUUUAUAGUGAAAAUAAUGUAUUCUAAAUGCAUAAGUUAAACAUAUAUCAAAAUUCGAAGUUUGAAAAAAAUAAAAUGUAUCUCUCGGAAAAAAGCGAUCAUUGAAGAUCGGCAAUGAUCGUAAAAUAAAUCGCGGGAAAUCAUUAGAGGUGCGCUACCUUAAAUAAACAUUGGAGAAAACAGUGAAAAUUACGUUUGUCUAUAUAUGUACUUAAUUAUGGGAACUGUUUUUAACUCUUUAUAAAUGUAUAUUAUCACUGAAUUACUAUAAUAUCUACAUUGCUAUGAGAUUAAACAUGCAAUUUGUAAUUACAUUGCAUAUUUAUGUUUUCAAGGUUUAAUAAACUUAAUAUUUAA